rnacentral:snoRNA from 1 species
AGCCCAUGGUGAGGGCACCAUCUCAAUAAGUCCUUAUACCUCUCCCAUGCAUCAUAUAGCGUUUCUAAGUCGAUUUGAACGAAGGAAGAAAUAUCAUUCCUCAACUU